CGGCAGACGGGUGAGUAACGCGUGGGAACAUACCUCUUGGUUCGGAACAACACAGGGAAACUUGUGCUAAUACCGGAUAAGCCCUUACGGGGAAAGAUUUAUCGCCGAGAGAUUGGCCCGCGUCUGAUUAGCUAGUUGGUAGGGUAAUGGCCUACCAAGGCGACGAUCAGUAGCUGGUCUGAGAGGAUGAUCAGCCACAUUGGGACUGAGACACGGCCCAA
rnacentral:rRNA from 1 species